AGUGAACGCUGGCGGCAGGCCUAAUACAUGCAAGUCGAACGGCAGCACAGCAGAGCUUGCUCUGUGGGUGGCGAGUGGCGGACGGGUGAGGAAUACGUGGGAAUCUGCCCAGUCGUGGGGGAUAACGUAGGGAAACUUACGCUAAUACCGCAUGCGCCCUUCGGGGAAAGCCGGGGACCUUCGGGCCUGGCGCGAUUGGAUGAGCCCACGUCGGAUUAGCUAGCUGGCGGGGUAAAGGCCCACCAAGGCGACGAUCCGUAGCUGGUCUGAGAGGAUGAUCAGCCACACUGGAACUGAGACACGGUCCAGACUCCUACGGGAGGCAGCAGUAGGGAAUAUUGGACAAUGGGCGCAAGCCUGAUCCAGCCAUGCCGCGUGAGUGAAGAAGGUCCUCGGGUUGUAAAGCUCUUUUGUCCGGAAAGAAAAGCGCCGGGUUAAUACCCUGGUGUCCUGACGGUACCGGAAGAAUAAGCACCGGCUAACUUCGUGCCAGCAGCCGCGGUAAU
rnacentral:rRNA from 1 species